GGCGGCUGCCUUACACAUGCAAGUCGAACGGCAGCACGGGUGCUUGCACCUGGUGGCGAGUGGCGAACGGGUGAGUAAUACAUCGGAACAUGUCCUGUAGUGGGGGAUAGCCCGGCGAAAGCCGGAUUAAUACCGCAUACGAUCUACGGAUGAAAGCGGGGGACCUUCGGGCCUCGCGCUAUAGGGUUGGCCGAUGGCUGAUUAGCUAGUUGGUGGGGUAAAGGCCUACCAAGGCGACGAUCAGUAGCUGGUCUGAGAGGACGACCAGCCACACUGGGACUGAGACACGGCCCAGACUCCUACGGGAGGCAGCAGUGGGGAAUUUUGGACAAUGGGCGAAAGCCUGAUCCAGCAAUGCCGCGUGUGUGAAGAAGGCCUUCGGGUUGUAAAGCACUUUUGUCCGGAAAGAAAUCCUUGGCUCUAAUACRGUCGGGGGAUGACGGUACCGGAAGAAUAAGCACCGGCUAACUACGUGCCAGCAGCCGCGGGUAAUACA
rnacentral:rRNA from 1 species